GGACUGUAGCUCAGUGGCAGAGCGCUUGCUUUCCACAUGUGAGGCACUGGGUUCAAUCCUCAGCACCA
rnacentral:tRNA from 1 species